rnacentral:tRNA from 1 species
GGAAGCGUAGUGAAGUCUGGCUAAACACGGCUGACUGUAAAUCAGCUCCUUCGGGUUCAGAGGUUCGAAUCCUCUCGCUUCCA